rnacentral:rRNA from 1 species
UACGUAGGAUGCAAGCGUUGUUCGGAAUUACUGGGCGUAAAGAGUACGUAGGCGGUUUGGUAAGUCUGAUAUUAAAGACUGGGGCUCAACUCCAGGAGUGUAUCGGAAACUGUCAGACUAGAGGACAAUAGAGGAAGUCGGAAUUCUCAGUGUAGCGGUGAAAUGCGUAGAUAUUGGGAAGAACACCAGUGGCGAAAGCGGACUUCUGGGUUGUUACUGACGCUGAGGAGCGAAAGCAUGGGGAGCGAACAGG